GUGGGCGUAGUUCAGCGGUUAGAGCGUCGGAUUGUGGUUCCGGAUGUCGUGGGUUCGAAUCCCACCGUCCACCCCA
rnacentral:tRNA from 1 species